CGGCCGAUAGGCGGGGACCGGUGUGCAUAUGCAAUGACAUGCAAAUGACGGAAAACACGUGGACACGCGGAUCGGUUUCACUUCAGCCAGCGGCCGGGCGAAAAGUCAACGAGGGGGCGAGUUCUUUGGUCAUCGUUUACGUCAUCCGGCUGAGGCUGCCUGACUGCUGGCACGUCAGGAGCGGCGUGAGGGACAGAUGUCAUAGUUCAUGUGAGAGUUUCCUCAAGGACACGUUGGCAGAACACGCGGGGCCGUCUGGCAGUGCGGUCUGAAAGCUGCACUGAAGAUGGCAUCGACAUGCCGAGGGAGUUCUAUGUGUUGGACACAGUGACGGUGAAGGCGUGACCCACAGGACCUCUGUGAUGCUGCCUCACACGGUGGGAUUAGGAUGCUCCGUCAGAGGCCAGACGAAGAUCCUGAGCCUGGAGCUUGGAGCCGGAUCCGGGAUGAGUCACACAACACAAACUGGCACUGUAAUUAUCAGUUUGUCAGAGAGGCUGGCUGAUGUAUCCCAGAGAGCCCGGGGCCCGGAUGUCUCCCACUCUCAUUCAUAAAAGAGAUAAAUUCAAAUCAGAGCCCCACGCUCACUUCAUUAUGGGGCAGACGCUGAACACCUGCCCCCACCGGCCCUCACCGGCCCCUUUGGAAAAGCGCAGCAGGCGUGCGUGGGCUCGCAUUGUGCCACACCUCACCCCGUGGACGCCGGGGCCGUUGGCAGCCUUUUGGCUUCUUGAGGGUUUCAUACACGUGUGUACAAUAUUGCAAAAUCGGUUGUUUCUUGUAUUCAGGCGGCGUGACGUGCCUCACGCAAUAGCUGUCCGUUGGAAACGGUUCACGGGGGGGUGCGGAGCGCUCGCCGAUAGCCUCAGUUAACCCGCACGCUGCAGAUCGAGAGGACCGGUCUUGUGUCCCGUGCAUGAGUCGGGGCCUACGAGCGUCUUUUUUUGUGCAGGCUUUACACCUUGCAGUGCUGCUCCACAUUAGAACACCAAAUCAACCGGCUUUCCCCGGCAUUACUGACAGUUAAUUACGUCAUGAAGUCGAGCCGAGGCCAGUUUGCUUCAGACCUCAGAAGACACAUGCGCUACCUGGAAACCAUUGACAGGGACAGAAUAUCCUGUCUUUCCAGCGACUCAAUGCUCUCAGAAGAUUACAUAAUAUUUCCUGGUAAAAUGUACGACCUUGCUGCUUCUCAUCUUGUUUGAAAAAAAAAAUGUAAAAGGCCUUGGCCUCAUAGGCUAAAUGCAACUUUGUGGCCUGGAUCUCAGACCCCACCUUCAUCAGCACAUUCUAAAUGCCAUUGUUUUAUGCUGUUCUCCACAUCUGUUCCAAACAACAGUAACAGAAAAUCCCCCCCGCCCCGGAUACCAGGAACGCGGCUGCACGUAGCGUGGGCAUGAUGCAGCAGGGAGGGUUAUGUAGUCCGAGGAGAAGUGAUACUGGGCGCAUUUCUGUGACUUUAAAGGGCUGGACUUCCGGCUCCCAGUCAUGUACCCUCCCUCCCUCGCUCCCUCCCCCCUUUGUGGCUUCUUCCCGGUUCAACUCCACUCAGUCACAUGCGCUUCUCACAGCAAGAAAGCUUUCUUGACUAUUUUCCACACACACAGUUCACAAUCAGUCAAGAAUGUCUGCCAGCAAAUCACUGUCAGAUAUUUAUGUGUGUGUGUGUGUGGGGGGGUCUGAACGGCUGCCAGGGCAGCUCUAGCGACAGUGGGACAUCUAUCUGCAGGACCGAGUGUAACAUGUGACCGGGGUAUAUUUUAACUGGGUUAUAUAAGUGCUCCAGCGCACAGAUGAGGAGGACUACAAAAGAUGCAGCGGGCUGAACGCUCAACACGAGCGUUACCUUUUGCACAUUGAAUCAUUUCUUCACGCGGAUGAAACUCAGGGUCAGAGCCCAUUUAUGUUGGUUGACUUUUUUGCGUUCUUUUUUUUUUAGAUGGAUUCACAUCAGUAAAUGUGUUCAUAUCAUUUCAGAUGGUGUCACAUUUUGAGCUGGUAGCAGUAUAAUCCUAUCUCAAUGUGAAGGUGAGAGUUAUGUAAGGGCGUUUGUGAGAUAGAAAUAAGCGGUGGCUGCUCCACUCACUGUUCUGCUCUUGUUGGAUUUGUUGUGCGAUCACGUGUUCUCGACACAUGCAGAAAAUUGAGUGGUCAUUACAUGCAGACAUGGGUCGGACAUUUUGCAAUAGGUUGACCACAUCGUACCUUGAAGUUCUCUCUGGAGAGUGCACACAAUAGGCUAGCUGCCAAAUCUAUGGCCAAUGUAGAACUACCCACGCUCCCUCUGCUAGCACUUUUAUGGGAUCAUUAUGUGGGCGUUUUAGUGUGAGAUGCUAUCUAGAAGUGAUGCAAUAUGGGCUGAUAAUUUCUCAGUAGGCAGCCCACCAACUUCACUUGGGGGGAGGUUAUGAUUAUAGUGCUUUCAUGGAAGAGUUUUAGCCCGAAACUUCAUCCCAGAUGUGUUCUUUUGAGGUUUGAAGAGCUUUCAAUUAAUUACAGAUUAUAUUCCCACUACUGGAAAUCUCCAAUGCACAGGGAUAUUUCUUUUGUACUUUUCUAUUUAUCUAUGUUACCUAACUAGGCCACGAAUAAUGUCAAAUCUGUAUGCCUUGUGAAUUUCACAUUACAUUCAAAAUGUGUAUCUGGGAAAGUAAUUUCACCUAACAAUAGGUAAUUCUGCAUGAAAAAGCACAGGAGCAUCUAAUCAUUUCCUUUACAAAAUCAUUUUCAUCUUGUAUGUUAUAUUGUUGCACACCAUGUUGACAAUGUUGAGAGUUAUGUCAUCUGUCCCUUACAAUGUGCGUCAGGGCUGUUAUGCUGCUGCAGUCAUAGACUUGCAUAACAUGGUGAAGCCAGCAUUAGAACUGCAGCCCUCUUACUCGGAUGUCAUCCCAACCUUGCAAGUACCUCACAUAUCUCAAGUCUUAUUCAGAAGAGCAGUGCGGGAGUUCAACAAGGGCCACACAGGUCGGCUUGCUUCUUCUCGGCAACAUCCUUUAAAAGAGGAGCAGUAUGAUGGCCCUUUAUGUGCUGACUGUUCCCCCCGAGGUAGCACGUAGCUUUGCAAAUGCAAGGCUAUUCUGACCGUGCUACAAAGAUGUAAUCACACGAACACCUACUAUCAUUUUACAUAGAGAACUGAUCCUGUUCGUGCCCCUUCACUACCCGUUAUCAUAUGUCUUACAAUCCCAUUCCUACUUCCUCGACUGACCUUCCGGUCCCCCGUCUCUAUUGCUGUCUCGUUUCAGCCGGUCAUGCUCGUAUUCCAAUACCUUUUCGGUAGUUCAAGAUAAUUAAUAUGACGUGCGUUGAAGUGCACUACAGGUUUUUUGUCAAUACUGUGUGGACUUUAGGAAGAAGGGAGAAAGAGAAGAGCUGGCUUCUUCAAACAACAGCCACUGUUAUUGUUGUUAACAUGAUAGAAUAUAAUUAGAAGACGUUUUUCUGUUAUCUUUAUUCUGACUACAUUUUGAAGCCUGUGACCCAAUAUUGAGUCCAUUUUAGUACGGUGACCUGAGAAAUGAAGUGUUUUAAAUGUUUGAGAAGAUGUUAGAUGUUAGAUAUUGGGUUUUACUACAUUGGUAAUUGAUUGCCAAUGGGAUGUAUUUGAUCUGCCCUCCUUGCUCCGUUUAGCUUGGCUUACAACCUAUUUCUAGCACAUGUUCACUUGCAUUGAAGGCAGGACCAACAAGACACAUGAAUAACUUACUUCCUGAGUAAUCCUGAACUUAAUUUCACUCCAUAUGCGAUUUCUGUCCAGGAUAUACAGUCCCUGAAUCCGUCAUUUACAUUUCAUUUGCUAAAAAGGGUGACCUCAUUGGAUGGUGACCCUACCAGGUCUGGGACGUAUAAUAUCAGGCUGUUAAGUAAAUAAACCUGGUGAUUUUUCAAUAUGUUGUACGCGAAACAAUUUCCCCCAGCCUGGGCUGUCAACCGGUCUGUGUAAAGUCUGGAAAAUUCCAGGUUUUCUUGAGAGGAGCAUGUUUACUCCUCCGUCUCUGCAGAGACAUUUACUAGGUCAAGCGCAAAUAAAUCUGCCAACAGCCUAAAGAGUAGUGGUGACAGAGGGGAGGGAGGAGGGGGGUGGUUACGGGAUUCUGUGGACUUUGGGCACAAAUCUAAUAGUCAAGAUGAAACUCAGUUUUCUAAUUUUAGCUGGAGCCUCCCAAAUGGCCCAUUAACUUUCCAAGGAGUUCUGUAUUAACGCAGCCUUGGUUGAAGUUGAGCUAAGCGGAAUCCUGAACUUAAGGACACUUAACAUUACAACCAUGUAUCCUGCACUAAAUCUUACUUUGCUGUAUGCACAAAGACUCUUGAGUCAUAUGUUUUCUUUACCCGUAAAGCACUACUACAGUGAAGUUGUUUUUUACCCGUAAAUAACAACACAAAAAAGUAGAAAAACACAUUUUCAGAGCUUGUAUUUUCUACAAUGGACAAACGUAUGGUGCCAAUCCCAAAAAUACUGAAUAUAAGGAGAGGUUAGAGUAAACCAUAGGAUGUUACUUGGAUACACGAUGUAAUCAACAAUAUAUACAUUUAGAUUUGUAUGCAGUUUGACGUACCUCUCAGACCUGUGUGUGAUGGUAGGAGGUGGGACAGCUCAUCCUCAGGGGGGACAGGUUUCAACCAAAUGAUUUAGGCUAAUUUGUGGGUCUGCUUUUCCAUAAGGUCAGCAUGUUCAGUGUCACAGAUGGCUGUGUGUGUAUGUGUGUGUGUGGGUUUGUGUGUAAACGGUCUGAGCAGGUCAAUGGGUUUGUAUUCAUCUGUGUGAGUAUACGUGCUAAUUAUGUAUGUCGAGAAAUGGUUUCUCACAUUAGUCCGUCUCUAUUGGCUUCCCAACUAUUUUUAAGACCAACCACUUAGUGAACCUGAAAUGACAUCAUCUCGUUGACAGAUCUAUGUCAUAGUGAAGGUUUACAGUAACUCAUUUAGGAGUAAUGAGCUUCCCCACCUCAAAGAAGACUGCAAGAAGCACAGUCAGAAAUCACCAGCUGUGCCAGAAAUAGCAAAUGCUCUGCAUCCUAACUUCUCGCUUGCACCUGAUACGGAAAACCCUUGAGAGGGCAAGUGACCGUGCACUUAACCCACAGUGACCUUUCAUUGGUCUUAGUAGAGCUUUUGUGUUCUUCUGUUGUGUUAUGAAAACAUGAGCUGUGGUCUGAGCUGCAUAUGGAAUGAAUAUCCUAUGCAUAAAUAUCCUUUAUUACAUGCAGCAGUCAGUUUGCUUAGCUUAACAUAAGGACUGGGAUCAAAUGUAGACAGCUAGCCUGGUUUCUUCCAAAGGUAACAAUACCUACCAGUUAUGCAUGAAGGUAUUUCUUGGAAUGCACUGGUUGGUAGGCAACCAGCGGGAAUCAAGGAAGUUAAUGCUCCCAGCAAGUAACACUCAGUCAAAAAUGACAGAUUUUUCACUUUUUUGCAGCGGGCUGAGCGUUUUUGUACAUGGAACAAAUAUUAUUUAAUAUAUUAACCCUUGACCUUCAGAGCGGCUGGCAUGCAGCUGUGUUACAUUCAGGCAGAGCCAGGCAGAGGAAACAGUCAUAGCCUCUUUUUCAUAUUAUUAUUAUUGUAUUAUAUCCAGUGUUGGGCAAGUUACUGAAAAUGAGUA